rnacentral:rRNA from 1 species
CCCCUAGAUGUUCUGGGCCGCACGCGCGCUACACUGAACAGUUCAACAAGUCUUAACCUUGGCCGAUAGGUCUGGGUAAUCUUUGAACGCUGUUCGUGAUUGGGAUAGACCUUUGCAAUUAUGGGUCUUCAACGAGGAAUUCCUAGUAAACGCAAGUCAUCAGCUUGCAUUGAUUACGUCCCUGCCCUUUGUACACACCGCCCGUCGCACCUACCGAUUGAGUGAUCCGGUGAAUAAUUCGGACUGCAGCAGUGUUCAGUUCCUGAACGUUGCAGCGGAAAGUUUAGUGAACCUUAUCACUUAGAGGAAGGAGAAGUCGUAACA